rnacentral:ncRNA from 2 species
GUCCGACGACAGGGGAGCGCCUCCGGGCGCUGAGAGUGCGAAUGCGCAGACCCUCGAACCUGCCCGGUUAGCACCGGCGAAGGAAGUCGGGAUCUCUCCUCG